GACGAAGGGCGCGGGCGUAUUCGUUUUGAUUGGGUGUAAAGGGUAUGUAGGCGGUCCACGGUGUUUUGGCAAAAAGGGCGGAGUGUUCCUACGCAACAUGCCUUUGAAAAAGUGGUCUGGAGUUAUGGAGAGGUAGGAACAAGCUCUCAAGUAGGGGUAUAAUCCUCCGAUAUGAGACCGAAUGUCAGCUGGCGAAGGCGUCUUUCCAGUCGAUAACUGACGCUGAGGUACGGAAGCCUGGGGCGCAAACGGG
rnacentral:rRNA from 1 species